rnacentral:rRNA from 1 species
GGCAACUAUCUAUGAAAAAACAAGUCUUCACAAAGUCGUAUGACCAUGUAUGAGGACUAAGAUAUGUUCAGUGCCGAAAGAACAAAAAAAUUGGUGACUUGAUGACAGAGGAGCCGCGACCUAUGUCCUCGAUAAAUGACGACCGUAACUAUAACGGUCAUAAGGUAACAAAAUUCCUUGUCAGGUAAAUUUUGACCCACAACAAAAGGUGUAAUGAUC